rnacentral:rRNA from 1 species
UGGGGAAUUUUGCACAAUGGGGGAAACCCUGAUGCAGCGACGCCGCGUGAUUUAGAAGGCCUUCGGGUUGUAAAAAUCUUUUCUAUGGGAAGAAAAUGACAGUACCAUAGGAAUAAGGACCGGCUAAUUACGUGCCAGCAGCAGCGGUAAUACGUAAGGUCCGAGCGUUGUCCGUAAUCAUUGGGCGUAAAGGGUACGUAGGCGGGUAAGUCAGUUAGAAGUGAAAUCCUAUAGCUCAACUAUAGUAAGCUUUUAAAACUGCUCUUCUUGAGGUAUGGAAGAGAAAGUGGAAUUCCUAGUGUAGCGGUGAAAUGCGCCAAUUUUAGGGGGAAUACCGGUGGCGAAGGCGACUUUCUGGCCAUAACCUGACGCUGAGGUACGAAAGCGUGGGUAACAAACAGG